GGAUAUAUGAUUUUCAAAUAAUGGAUCAAGCACCUUGCUUUACACUGACAUGUACACACAGUGUGAUUCAGUAUGUACAUUAUUGGAAACUAAGCUCUUCUUGUGCAAGCUAGUUUGAAAGGUGAAAUGAAAUUUAAUAUGAGACCAGGUUAGAUAUCUCUAUCUGCUUUGGAAUAUAUUCAGCUGUACAGAAUUUCACCAGCCUGUUCAGAUCCAAAUUUGAAAAUUUUAAAGACUUUCAAGCAAAUGAAUCUUCACCUUCCUUGUUGAAAGGUAGCAAUGUCUGUGUGUCUGUAACUCUUCUUGACAGCUUGGACAUUGGAUGGCUGACUGUAUGUGCUGGUCAUUGGUUGAAACUAACAAAUUUAAAA
rnacentral:sRNA from 1 species